rnacentral:rRNA from 1 species
AUUGAACGCUGGCGGCAUGCCUUACACAUGCAAGUCGAACGGCAGCACGGGAGCAAUCCUGGUGGCGAGUGGCGAACGGGUGAGUAAUAUAUCGGAACGUGCCCGGUCGUGGGGAUAACGUAGCGAAAGCUACGCUAAUACCGCAUACGAUCUACGGAUGAAAGCGGGGGAUCGCAAGACCUCGCGCGAUUGGAGCGGCCGAUAUCAGAUUAGGUAGUUGGUGAGGUAAAGGCUCACCAAGCCGACGAUCUGUAGCUGGUCUGAGAGGACGACCAGCCACACUGGGACUGAGACACGGCCCAGACUCCUACGGGAGGCAGCAGUGGGAAUUUUGGACAAUGGGCGCAAGCCUGAUCCAGCAAUGCCGCGUGCAGGAUGAAGGCCU